rnacentral:lncRNA from 1 species
CAAACUUCAAAUACCAUUUCUGUGGUUUUGUAUUUUCUCACUUUAGUAUCAUAUGGUUUAAAAUGUAUCAAUUUAGUAUUAUAUAGUUUCUUCUUUUUUUUUUCGCCAACCCCUCCGCUAUCUUUUCGUUAAAUUAUAUAUAAAAAAACUUCAGAUGCCCACCUAUAGUUUAUCAAAUAUUUAUUUUAAUAUCCUUUAAUUUUAACUUUGUCACUAAUUGAACGAAAAAAAUUAAUAAAGAGAUAAUAAAAAAAGGAAAAUAAAAUAUAAAGUACUAAAGUGAUACAUUUUAAACCAUAGGGUAGUAAAGUGAGAAAGUGGGAAACCACAGGGGUGGUGGUAUUUGAAGUUUUUUUUUUUAAAAAAAGGG